rnacentral:lncRNA from 1 species
CGUCGCUUCCUCCGUCCCGGCGCGGGCGCGGCGGCGCGGAGCGCUCUGUCGGGAGUGAGGAGGCGCGGGCGCUGCCCGGGGCCGAGGGGCGCCGAGCCCUGCUCACCGCCGCCUUGAGGGGCCGGGGCACCCCGCCCGGGCCAGCGCGCCUCGAGCCACCGGGGCGACGCUGGGACCGUGGUCAGCAGGGUGCCCUUCCCCGACGGGGACGGAACCCCGACGGCGUCCGGGCCGGAAGGGCGGGCGCCCCGGACCGCGAACCUCCCCGCCGGGCAGUUUAGCAGGAGAGGCCUCCCAGGGCCGUUCACACAGGCCCGCGGUUCGCUUAGCAACUCGCGCAUUUUGGAAAAAGAAGUGUCCCACGCCUCGUCCCAGCGGAGGCGGGGGAGCGCGUGCGCCCUCGCGGGGAGGCCGGGGUGCCCCCCGGCGGCAGCCCCGGACCUGCGGGCCCUGCGACGGCCCCGGGGAGGCUUCGUGUGGCCGCCCCUGCGCGUGCGCGUCACACGGCUCGCGGGUGGCGACCCCCGACGCGCACCGCCCGGGAGACUGUUCUCGCCCUCGAGAGGGAGGACCACGCAGGGCCCUCCGCGUGGAUGCUGCUGUCACGUGUUUGUUGACUCGGGGAGAAUCGGAUGCUGGGCCUGCGAAUGUGUCUCCCUGAGAGGCUCUUUCAGAAAUGCACGGGCGCGGUGCUGAGACACCUGGGAUUGGCUGUCACACGAUGCGCUGAGCGAGGGGACGCACGGGGCCCGCAGCUCGUCGUCCUUGGAGCUGGUGAUGGCCCCACGGCGCUACCCCGUCCUCCUCUUGGACGCAUUUGCGCUUCCCUUUAAAAAGUCUUCAUAACAUUCACACCCAGUUCCGGGGAAAGACUUCGAAAUUUGCUACGGUUCUCCCAGCCGUUAGUCUCGCCCUAUCUUUCUUGAUGCUGAAAAAGUUCUUUAAAAAAACGCAGUCAUCUAGAUCACCCUGCAGAUGAGCUUGGCAUUAAAUUCCCGGGAUCACUAAGCUCUACCCGCUUAGACCCGGGCAGGAGAGGCCCCUGUCCUGGACCCCACGCUUUGAAGGACCUUACAUACCGCAAAUACAUCGAUUUAUUAAAAACACGGGGGCCUCGGCCACUCCUGGUCUGAUGCUGAACCCUGGCCCACAGCCAUAAGUGCCCUCUCCCUGGACCAACACUGUCCCGGCCGCUGGGAAACACUUCUUCAUGUCUCUUGUCCUUUGUCUUCAAAACAAAAGGUGGAACCCGGAAGCAGUGAGGAUCUGUGGGUGGGACAGCUGGCCUGGGCAGACAGAGGCUGCUGUGGAGUCCGGGUGGGAUUUGAGCAGCAAAGCGCUUAAAUAGGAAACGUCCAGCGAAAGAGUGAAUGCAUGAUUGGGCCCAUCACAGAUGUGCCACGGGGGUUGACGCUCUGCGUAUGCGACAACGCCGCUCUCCUUUCCUCGUGCUCUUCGUUGGUGCCACAUCUUAGAGCUUGUAAAAUGUCGUCAUUUCAGUUCUGCUUGAUUUAAUUUUCUCACACGACUUUUUAAAUAUUUUCAAAAGAAUUCUUUUGGGCUUGAGUAUAUUCCUUAAAGGAUAAGCUACCUUUUGGAAUAAAAAUAAAAUAAAAUUGGGGCUGGCCCGGAGGUCGAGUGGUUAAGUUUGUGCGCUCCACUUCGGCGGCCCAGGGUUUCACCGGUUUGGACCCUGGGCGCGGACACGGCACCGCUCGUCAGGCCAUGCUGAGGUGGCGUCCCACAUGCCACAACUAGAAGGACCCACAACUAAAAUAUGCAACUCUGUACUGGGGAGAUUUGGGGAGGAAAAAGCAGGAAUAAAGAAAAAGAAGAUUGGCAACAGUUGUUAGCUCAGGUGCCAAUCUUUAAAAAAAAAUAAAAUGGA